AAGUCGUAACAAGGUUUCCGUAGGUGAACCUGCGGAAGGAUCAUUAGCGAAGUUCGGAAUGCGUGUUCGAUGUUGAUGCUGCCCAGCAAUGGGAUGUGCUCGCUCGGAUGUGUGUCCCUUCUCUAUCCACCCCACUGUGAACCAAGUGUGUGAGCCGAAGAGAAAUCGGACGCUCGCAUGCAAACCUUUAACAUACCCCAAUUAAGUAUCAGAAUGUACCUUGCGUUAACUCGCACAAAUAUAACUUUCAACAACGGAUCUCUUGGCUCUC
rnacentral:misc_RNA from 1 species